UACGUAGGGGGCAAGCGUUGUCCGGAAUCAUUGGGCGUAAAGAGCGCGUAGGCGGCCCGGUAAGUCCGCUGUGAAAGUCAAAGGCUUAACCUUUGAAUGUCAGCGGAUACUGCCGGGCUAGAGUCCGGAAGAGGCGAGUGGAACUCCUGGUGUAGCGGUGGAAUGCGCAGAUAUCAGGAAGGAACACCAACGGUGAAGGCAGCUCGCUGGGACGGUACUGACGCUGAGACGACGAACGUGGGGAGCGAACAGG
rnacentral:rRNA from 1 species